GAGUUUGAUCAUGGCUCAGGAUGAACGCUGGCGGCGUGCUUAACACAUGCAAGUCGAACGGGAUCCGGCCUUCGGGCCGGUGAGAGUGGCGAACGGGUGAGUAAUGCGUGACCAACUUGCCCCAUUCUCCGGAAUAGCUCCUGGAAACGGGUGGUAAUGCCGGAUGCUCCACAUGACCGCAUGGGAUUGUGGGAAAGGGUUACCGGAAUGGGAUGGUGUCGCGUCCUAUCAGCUUGUUGGUGGGGUAACGGCCCACCAAGGCUUCGACGGGUAGCCGGCCUGAGAGGGCGACCGGCCACAUUGGGACUGAGAUACGGCCCAGACUCCUACGGGAGGCAGCAGUGGGGAAUAUUGCACAAUGGGCGAAAGCCUGAUGCAGCGACGCCGCGUGCGGGAUGAAGGCCUUCGGGUUGUAAACCGCUUUUGACGGGGAGCAAGCGAGAGUGAGUGUACCCGUCGAAUAAGCACCGGCUAACUACGUGCCAGCAGCCGCGGUAAUACGUAGGGUGCAAGCGUUAUCCGGAAUUAUUGGGCGUAAAGAGCUCGUAGGCGGUCCGUCGCGUCUGGUGUGAAAGUCCAUCGCUUAACGGUGGAUCUGCGCCGGGUACGGGCGGGCUGGAGUGCGGUAGGGGAGACUGGAAUUCCCGGUGUAACGGUGGAAUGUGUAGAUAUCGGGAAGAACACCAAUGGCGAAGGCAGGUCUCUGGGCCGUUACUGACGCUGAGGAGCGAAAGCGUGGGGAGCGAACAGGAUUAGAUACCCUGGUAGUCCACGCCGUAAACGGUGGAUGCUGGAUGUGGGGCCCGUUCCAGGGUUCCGCGUCGGAGCUAACGCGUUAAGCAUCCCGCCUGGGGAGUACGACCGCAAGGUUGAACUCAAGGAAUUGACGGGGGCC
rnacentral:rRNA from 1 species